UGGCGAACGGGUGAGUAACGCGUGAGCAACCUGCCUAUUACAGUGGGAUAGCCUCGGGAAACCGGGAUUAAUACCGCAUAAAAUCGUAGAAACACAUGUUUUAACGGUCAAAGAUUUAUCGGUCAUAGAUGGGCUCGCGUCUGAUUAGCUAGUUGGUGAGAUAACAGCCCACCAAGGCGACGAUCAGUAGCCGGUCUUAGAGGAUGAACGGCCACAUUGGAACUGAGACACGGUCCAA
rnacentral:rRNA from 1 species